UGCCAGCAGCCGCGGUAAUACGGAGGGUGCGAGCGUUAAUCGGAAUGACUGGGCGUAAAGCGCGCGUAGGUGGUUUGUUAAGUUGGAUGUGAAAGCCCUGGGCUCAACCUGGGAAUUGCAUCCAAAACUGCCAGACUAGAGUACUGUAGAGGGGGGUAGAAUUUCCGGUGUAGCGGUGAAAUGCGUAGAGAUCGGAAGGAAUACCAGUGGCGAAGGCGGCCCCCUGGACAGAUACUGACACUGAAGUGCGAAAGCGUGGGUAGCAAACAGAAUUAGAUA
rnacentral:rRNA from 1 species